UCAAACUUGGUCAUUUAGAGGAAGUAAAAGUCGUAACAAGGUUUCCGUAGGUGAACCUGCGGAAGGAUCAUUAAUGAAAUUUAUGACUGGGGUUGUCGCUGGCCUUUAAAAACGGCAUGUGCACGCCCCUUUCACUAAUCCACACACACCUGUGCACCUUUGCGGGGGCUCUCGGGAACCGACGCAAGUCGUAAGUACCGGAGCUCGCGUCCCUUUACACACCCCUUUGUAUGUCUUAAGAAUGUCUACUCGAUGUAAUAAAACGCAUCUAAUACAACUUUCAACAACGGAUCUCUUGGCUCUCGCAUCGAUGAAGAACGCAGC
rnacentral:misc_RNA from 1 species